rnacentral:lncRNA from 1 species
GGAAAAGUACAAUGCGUAGAGACUCCACCUCAGCCACAGGCAGUCGAUGUAGUCCACGUGACCUCACUCCUACGGAUCGCCAUAGUAGUCGUAGUCAUCACCUUCAUCUUCAUGCAACUCUGUUGUCAACAAAAUUAUUGCCAUGAGUACAUUACGUACUUAACAUGCCUCCCACGGGGAAGGACCUAAUAGCUACAUGUGGCUUCAAAGGAAGGCUAUAUGGAUCAUUUGCAUAAAGCUAAUUUUUUCGACAAAUAAAGCAGUUGGAUAAAAGUAGUUUUAGAUGAAAACAUGUUUUAUCUCCAGAAUAACUUUCAUCAAGUGAGGAUCCUCGAUCAACUCACACUCUUCAUAGGUUCCAAGAAUAGGGACAAAGAGGGAAUAAGCAAGACAGGUCCUGUACGUCAAGAAAGAUUUAUGUGUAGCCCUUGACCGUGGACACAGCUAUUCGAAUAGUUUUACACUCUGCAGAGGUCGUACACUUUACCCACACGACACAAUCCCGACUUGUUGCCACCAGUGGCCGCUGGUAUAGUACUCCAUUUGGUGUACCGGCAGGGGGAUUGUGACGAGGUCUUUGGACUAAAUCCCCCAAAGAUGUGACAUGCCCACCGGGUCUGGCGCACGGAACUGAGAGUAUGUCCUUAAAUCGGUCCCCCCAUCUGUGCCGAGGACACUCCUCGCAAGGCAGCUAUCCCAUCUGCGGUACGGCGACAUCGACACCUAAGGCUGACUAGCUUACUUGACCAAGCCAGUGCCCAUAUAGCAUGUGGCUGUACUGUUAUCACAAUCUUCCAAUCCAAGACUUAUUAGACCUUAAGCAGCACAGACGACUGAUUACCCCCUUCAACUUGUGAAGGGCAGCCAAUCGCUCCUUCAAUCCUUGAUUCAGCUAUCGCCCGCGCCAGUAUACAGAUGGUAAGUUUCACCCAGAGUAGAAGAGAGUAGAGGAUAUCAAUAAGGCCAUCUGGCCUAGCUCAGCGGUAAGUUUCAAUUGUCAAUGACUCAGAUGUCAUUCAACAAAGCACCUAUAGGGUAAUAAGCAUGGCUAAGCAUUUCUACUCUACAAGAAUACUAUAAUUCUACUCAGGUGUCAAAUGAAUAGGCAACAAGUGGAUCAAGGUAAUGUGUCAAUCGACACGCUAGCUACGAGAAUUAAAAUAGCAUGCAUAUAAUAACCAUAAAACACAAUGCAAUUUUGUAAACAUAGGAUAAGUAUGAUCAAAGAAGGAGGCAUGCCUUCGUUGUUGAGUCCUUCUUCAGUAACCUGUUCUAUCCAUGUCCAACAUCGAUAUUGUCACUCCCUACUCGUCGGAACGACAGCAAAAGACAAACAAUAAAUACCAAAGCAAAAGUAAAUCCAAAUAACAUCCAAAACAAUUUAAAAUUGGAUGGACAACAAGAUAUUGAUCAAGAUGGAGACUUUGAAAUGAGGUUGAUUAGGAUGUAAGAGAAAGGAUUCAUUGAAGUGACAUGGUUGAGGUUGACACAGCUAAGAAAUACUUGGCGAUCAAGACUAAGGUUCCAAUACGAAUAUGCAAUUAAACACUAGUAGUGCCCACUACACAUCUCGACAAACUAUAUAGGAAACUACUAUCUAACAAAACCAAUGGCAUCAACACACAUGAAAAGGAACCAUCCUAUGCAUUUAACCACACAAUUACAACAUGACAUGAUGAAGGUAAAAGUCAAAUAAAUAUUUAGACAGAACCUAAAUAUUUAUAAUGGUCAAUAGCAGACAAACAUAUGCAUCAACUAUAUAAUAAUUCCAAACGAACAAACAUUACAAACCAUACUAGUUAAGCAAUAAAAUAUCAUUCAACAACAUGAGUUGAAAUGAUCUAGGUCUAGCCCAAAAAAACCAUUAAAAUGGAAUAGGGUCAACUCCAUUAUAUCAAACCAAUUCAUUUGUCAAACAAUUAACAAGAAACUAUACAACACAUGGAACAAAUGGAUGCACAACUAUCCUAGGCAUGAUAUGAUUAAGAGUAACAAUCAACCAAGAAUAAAUAUUUGGAUGAAUCCAAAUACUUAUAAUGGUUAACAACAAUCAAAGACUAAACAUAAAUUAUAAAAAACUAUUAGCAAUAAUUUAUAUAAAAGAAGACAAACCAAUACUAAUUAAGGUAGAAACUAAUUUAACAACUUAAUAAUAACACACAUCUCACAUAAUACAUGUGAGUAUAGAUUCACUAAUGUCUAAGAAAAUAACACAAGCAUGACACAUAUGAGUGAUCAUGAUAAGAUAUUAAACUAGAAUAUGGUCUUACUACUAAAGAACAACUAAUACUCAAGUAACCACUAGAAAUAAGAUUGCCACUUCAUGCUUACAUAACAGAUCAAACUAUGCACACUAAGCAUAUGAGGAAGAUACAACUCACUAACAUGAAAGGUAAAUUGUCUUAAGCAUGUGCUAAACUAUCGCAACAAGACCCAACACUCCUGAGGCUACCAUAAGGCCAAAGUGAUCAUCCAUAAGAACGCACAACAGACUAAGUACUCAAUUAUAGCACAUAGACAAAACAAGACAUGAAAGAUCACUUGCAUGAGUGACAACUGACAUAUAACAAUGCAACAACUAGAUAAAGUAGAUAUGAAGAAGUGUAGGCAUACAACAAUGUAAUAGUGAGGUAGACUAGAUAUAAUGCUAAGCUUGGAUGAUCAUGACACAAGAUGCCAAACUAUGCUACCAGUAGAAUACAACUUAAUGACUAUGACAUAACUUAGUUGAUAUCAACUAACAUGACUAUCAAGAAUGGCAUUAGCUCACAACACUAUCAUGUUAGUUGUGACUUAUAAGAAAAAGGGAAAAACAUACUAAGCAAGUACACAUCUAGGUCAUGGCAUCAAUCACAUCAAGCGAUGUGCUAAACUAGCAUGAAUAACAUGAAGACAGUAUUUCUAUCUAGUACAACCUAGACUUUCUAAUACAUAAAUGGAGAACCUAGGCAUCAUACAACACACGGGUCGUUACACACAUUUAUGCAAUCUAUUUAACAAUCCCAACAACAUGGCAUGACAAGCAAAAAUAUUUAAACAUCUAUCUUAGACAAAGCAUGAUUUAAAACCAACAUGUGACAUGGAUGAAAAAUGAAUAAGUAAACCAUAUAUAUGAUUUCGCCAUGCUAAAUAAUAUUAAAUAGUCAAGACAUGAGGUGUUUCAUGACUAGAUGGAUAAGUAAAUGAACACCUAGAACAAAUCUAAAGAAUUAUAAGCACGAUGAAUAUUAACCACAAUGAUGUACACGCUCUCCGUGUAACAAUAAAGAAUACCAAUCAUUACUAAAAUAAUAAUAAUAAGAUUACACUAACAAUGAUCCAAAACUAAUUAAAAUAAUAACACCAAACAAGCAUGUAAGAACAUUAAUAAUCUAUUACAACAAUCAACUCCUACACAUGGUAAGAAUUUGCAAAGACUUGUACAGAGACAUGUCAUAGGACUACACACACCAAAGAAAAAUGUCACAUGGGACAACCAGUUCAACAAUUAUCAAAUAACUAUAAUCGGUAAAUAAAUCCAGCAAGUGACAUGACACAUCAAAAUUACGAGGCGAAUAGAUACCAUGCACUCCUAAGCAUACCAAGAACAUAAGGAAAUAACAAUAUAUUAACAGAAGUUCACUGAUGAAUCCUACACAUAACCAUGCAACACUAUUUUAAAACUAUUGUUUUAAUCAACCAGAGCGGCUAGAUAAAAUCUAUAUUAAAUCUUGAUUGACUAAACAAGUAAUCUAGUAAAUCAAUUGAAACUCUUACGGUUAAGAAAUAUUUAGGAGCGACUCCUAGGUAUAAGUCACACAAGUGAAAAUUCGAAAGUGAAAGAAACAUGCACGUAGUGUAAUUCCCAUUUUACUAGAAUAAUUCCCAUUUUACUAGAAUAAUGUCUAACAAGAUAUAUACGCAAAAUCAAAAACCACAAACGUGUUCCUCUAACCACUUAACAUGUUUCAUCCAUUGGGAUCAAGAUCAAACGAUAAACAAAAACGAUGGAAAUAUGCCUAUAAUAUUUGGUUCAUGCGACGGAUAGCAUCGGCGCGCCCAACAAAAAAAAUAGAAGGAACUAAGAUGUAUAGGAGAUAACACGAGUGAUGUUUGGAAGGUGUGCAAUAGGAAUUGGAAAGUGGUUCACCGAGUUCGACGGAACGGUGCGAUGAACUUGACGAACAGUGUAUACGUACUUGCAAAAUUCUCCGCGUAUGCUCGACGGAACACGUUGUUUCUUCUCUGAAUGGAGCUGCGGCAUGGAGCAGAAUAUUUUGGCGCAAGGACUCGAACAUGGAUCGCCUAAAUCAUCGGGAUAGAGCAUCGGCGUCCAUGGAGCUGCUGUAGUUCAAGGAGAGUUCUUCAAAGAAUUAGGAACAGAUAGGGAGGGGUUGCUAGGGGAUUGGAAGAGGAGGUGGAGGCGCACAUGUAGGUACUCACAAAUUUGGAAACGGUGAAGAACUAAACAAUUUAGACCAGGGAAUGUUUCUCCUGUAGGUUUCCUUUUCCUCUUGUUUGUGUGCAUGUAGGUGUGCGUGGGUGGAGAAAGAGAUGAAGCGCUUGAGGCACGGCUUUGGGAGAUGAAGUGGAGAGAAA